rnacentral:rRNA from 1 species
UACAGAGGGGGCAAGCGUUGUUCGGAAUUACUGGGCGUAAAGGGCGCGUAGGCGGCCUUCUAAGUCGAACGUGAAAUCCCCGGGCUCAACCCGGGAACUGCGUCCGAGACUGGAAGGCUUGAAUCCGGGAGAGGGAUGCGGAAUUCCAGGUGUAGCGGUGAAAUGCGUAGAUAUCUGGAGGAACACCGAUGGCGAAGGCAGCAUCCUGGACCGGUAUUGACGCUGAGGCGCGAAAGCCAGAGGAGCAAACGGG